rnacentral:rRNA from 1 species
UACGAAGGGGGCUAGCGUUGCUCGGAAUCACUGGGCGUAAAGCGCACGUAGGCGGCUUUCUAAGUCAGGGGUGAAAUCCUGGAGCUCAACUCCAGAACUGCCUUUGAUACUGGAGAGCUUGAGUCCGGAAGAGGUGAGUGGAACUCCGAGUGUAGAGGUGAAAUUCGUAGAUAUUCGGAAGAACACCAGUGGCGAAGGCGGCUCACUGGACGACUGUUGACGCUGAGGUACGAAAGCGUGGGGAGCAAACAGG